UUACGUGUAUAGCUACGGUAACAAAAACAUGAUUAUCUACAUGAAUUUAAGUCAUAAUUAUUCACAUGAUUUUCGACUUAUUUGGAAACAAAAUAAAACCACUGUUAUCCACAAAAAUCACACACUCAUUCAGAAAUUCUUCAUAAACACACAAGUUGCAUAAUUUCUUCGAACAGACAGCUGGAUAUCGAAUAACCACUGCACUCAGUCUCCCUUCCCUUUCUCUUACCAACUUCGAACAAUAUUUGCUUCCUCGUUCUCCUCUUUUGCCCCCUCACUCUUUCAGAUUGUGAUCCAGGGCGAAUUCGAAUUUACCAAUGGCCGUCGGGCUUCGGCAGCCUCCACGUGCCGAAAUACACUGUCCAAAUAGUUAAUGAAGAGUGGGAGUUCGAGGGCGUGUCCGAUGUUCGGAUAGGUUGUCCUGGUUUUGCAUCCACAACUCUCAUCGAUCCUAGGGUUUUUCGACGGCUGGAUUUCGCCACCUGUCUCCUCUGGGACGGGCGCGCCGUCAUGUCCGGUCAGGUUAUUACAUUCGAAUACACGAACAUACUUCCGUACACUUUGGCCGCGGCCGCAAUGGUCUGUCACUGACACGUCACAAAGAUAUUUGUCAGAACCUCGCGUCUACCCGUAUCCAUUGUGAUUGGUAUUUGUGGGACUCAAUUAGGGUUGGGAAACUUACCUAAAAUUUUGUUCCUAAUUAGUUUGUCACACUAUUGAAUUUUCUACUUUGUUUGGGAGGUUAUA